GUGAGCUUUGAUAAAAUAGAAGCAUACUUGGAAAGACAUUUUAACGUAAAUUGCAUCAACCCUAUGUAUGAAUAUGAUUACUCAAUUGGGAUGAUGUUAACAAUAUUGUGCAGUAUAGUUCAGCAAAAGUUCAAUUACUCUUCUAAUAUCAUGUGCUUUAAUGUUUUUAAUGAUUGAUGCAUAGUGGCUGACUGAUGAGACUGUUCUUAGUGAUUUAUAUAAAGUAAAUGAAGUUCUUCAGUGAGCCAGCGUGGUGAAAUUGCAUGCUUUUUAUCCUAGUGGUAGAGUGGGUUGCCAAGAAAGUGUUUCUCAUGCAGGAUCCACGGCUUAAACUUUUGAUCUUUUUUGUUGCUAGUUGAAUUUUGUAUUGAUUUUAUUUUUUGUAAACAUUCUGCCUAUUAAUAGGUUCAGAUGAGGUCAAAUCUUAAUGUGUUAAAAAGAUGUGCAUUAUGUUCUCAAAAAAAAUAAAAAGCGAGAAAAAGAAGUGAGAUUAAUAGAAAAGAGUUGUCCCUUUUCUGCUGCAUUGUAUUAUUCAUUUGUAGCGAAGCUACAUGUUUCAUAUAUUUUCCAGAAUUCAAAAUUUCCAUGCUUAUAUGUUUGAUAAUUGAUGAAAUGAUGUAAUCCAGAGCCAAACUCAUAGCUUUGAAGAUUGAGGUGAACUAGCUAAGCAUGAAAAGAGUAAGGAAGGAGACAAUCUCAAUUAUUAAUUGUUUCGUCUGUUUUACUUACUUCUAGCCUCUAGGUAUUUCCCAUUUCUACUGCUACUUCUAUGAAUGGAUGUUGUACAAAAUGGAUUGCUCAUGUGGUUAUGCUAUUUCCCCUAUUGAAUUUAUAUGGUUUUCCAGCUAAAAUUUAACUAGUUAAGUUCUCACAGCAGAUAAUAUUUUAGAUGCUAGUUAGACAUCCUUCUACACUCCAUGGAGUGAUAUGUACCUUGGAGGUUAAUCUCAAAUGCACUUUGCACCCUAAUGAGCUGUUGUUUGCUACACCCUUCUUUGGAGGAUUGCUGUAUUGAGUAGCCCACAUAUGUUGAAGACAAUGGAUCAACUACCUUUCACCAUUUAUAUCAUGAGAUAAUUUUCCUCCUUUUCUGAUCAUAAUGCCAAUUAUCAACUUUUUUUUCCCUGGACACAAGUAAUGUUACAUUUUAGUCUAUUGUCACUUGACCUGUAGGGCGUACAAACACU
rnacentral:lncRNA from 1 species